CAGGAGACUCCUAGGACAAGGUCUAGGAACGUGCUCCCUUGAAGAACUCCAACAGAUAGAAGAACAGUUAGAGAGGAGCGUAAGCAGCAUUAGAGCUAGAAAGGCUCAGGUUUUCAAGGAACAAAUUGAGCAACUAAAGGAAAAGGAAAAAGUCCUAGCAGCUGAAAAUGCAAGGCUAUGUGAGAAGGUGAACUUUUGCAAUUAUUAUUACUAGUACUAGUAUUCUUUUAUUCUUCUUGUUGAU